CCUAGCUAAGGUACAAGCAACUGCUUACAAAGAAAAUCACGUUUCCAGAGAACAUGAGAUACAGAAGGUCAAACACAGGAUCCCAAGCAGCAGAGAGGGUGCAGCCACAGUGCAUGGAUCAGCUGUGUGUGCAAUGGAGUUAACCUCAUUUCCAGCCCCGCAGGAGGAGAUGAGGACAAACCAACAGCUCUGCUGUGAUGACAGCGACUAGAGAACAUAAAACCUUUCUCCAAAAGCAGUCUCCGUCUCUGAAAGGAAGCCCAGUCCUGCAGGGAGUGCUUCAACCCCUCUGAGGAGUGUGCAGCCUUGGGACAGUCUGUAAAAGGAGCUCACAGAAAGCUUCUCUGUGUCCCAAAAAAUCAUCUUUGGCCAGAGCAGCAUUGUACCUCAUCCUGGCUGAGGGGAGAGGGCUCAGCAAU